GCCUGGGUGGCUCAGUUGGUUAAGCGUCUGACUUCGGCUCAGGCCAUGUUCUCAAAGUCCAUGAGUUCGAGCCCCAUGUCAGGCU
rnacentral:tRNA from 1 species